CUGAAGUCCUACGGAUGGUUGCUAAGUGGCAGCUUCCUACUCUGACCCCUUUGAGGCUGAGCUUGUCCGCCUGAAGGACCUUGAGUUGGAGGUUACCUGGCAUCUGGGUAAUAUUGCUGCCUGAAUCCAGCCUGUCAAGGCUUAUUUCAGCCCCUCCCCCAACCCACACUCAGCUUGGCACCAUCUGCAAAUUUUGAAAACAAAUAUAACACAGUGAUCCUGGUUACGACUGGACCUUAUUUAAAGCUUUGGAGGAAUCUUGAGGAGCAGGGCAGAAACGGGACAGAAGCACAAACUGGCGAUCCAGGUCGAGCCUAGGUCAAGCAGCAGGAAGAGGGGACAGGAGGUUGGAGAGGAGACUCUCUCUCCCUUGCUGACUUCGAAGAAGCAAGCUGCCAUGUUGAGUGCCGUCACAGGGAGAGGACCACACAGCGAGGAGCUGAGGGCAGCCUCCAGCCAACAGCCCAGAAGAAACUGUGACCCUCAGUCCAGCAACACACACAAGACUGAAUGCUGCCAACAACUAUGGGAGCUUGGAAAGAAAUCCUUCUCCUUUGAACAUUUAGAUGAGAACUCCCCUCUCCUUCCAUCCUCAGAGAGCCCUCCUUUAAUUAUCUAUUGUAUGAAUCUCAAACACCUCGACUUCCAAGGCAAUCCCUUCCCUAACCCAUAGGAUUUGGUUUAAUCUGGUGAUCCGUUGCCAUUUCCCACCUAAGUAACCCCAGAUGAAAUACGCUAAUUCACAAUAAUUUCCUCAAGACUGACUUUCUCAGUUUAAAUAACACCACGGGAAAGUGCAGGGCCUUAGUGGAACGGUCUGGACUGGAUGGACUUUGGCAUUCGUUUGACACCCUCCACUAGGAUGAGCUAAAAAUAGCUCUUGAACAAAACAUGUCUCCCAAGGAUGAGCAAAGUUUCUUGUGGACAAUGUACUUCAGACACAUUUUAAAGAAGAAAAACAUCUUCCUAAAGGCAAUACAAUCCACAAGGAUUUUCCCUAUCCUCGACGGUGACAGACUUUUACUUUAUUAAUCAGAACAGCUUUGCUCCCUACAUGCAAGCUCUAGUGGCAUGCUUUGCAUAGCUGGACAUUGCCAUAAAUAAAAUAGCCUCCAAUGCCAAACGUUAACCCCAGCAGCACGAAGAGUCAGCAGAAGCUAUGAAAUUAAAAUGUUCUUUAACAUGAUCAAACUUUUCAGCCAAGAUUUCUUCCCUGACAAGUCUUUAUAAGUGGAAGGGUUGAAUGACACAGCUUGAUCAUCCCCCGCCCAGAGCAGGUCACCAGAGAAUGUGGGCUAGUUCGUUUUCCAGUUAUACUUUUCACUAAACCGUACCAU
rnacentral:lncRNA from 1 species